rnacentral:misc_RNA from 1 species
CGCAUAUUGCGCCCUUUGGUAUUCCGAGGGGCAUGCCUGUUCGAGCGUCAUUUACAUCCUCAAGCAAUGCUUGGUAUUGGGAGUCACCCCGGUGGGGUGUCCUCGAAACUUAGAGGCGACGUAGCCGGACUUCCUGGCGUAGUGAUUUACACCGCCCUGGAGUUGUCGGUCGUGCGUUUGCCAGACAACGCCCAAAUAUCUGAAUUGACCUCGGAUCAGGCAGGACUACCCGCUGAACUUAA